GGAUAUAGCUCAGCGAUAGAGCAUGUGCUUAGCAGGCAUGAGGUCCUGGGUUUAAUCCCCAGUACCUCCA
rnacentral:tRNA from 1 species